UUGGCUAAUGCAUUUUUUGUUCCUUUUUGCAGGACUGGGGAUUGAACCCAGGGCCUUUGCACUGAGCUCCGUCCUCGGUCUCUUUAUUUUUGUAUUCUGAGGCCAAGUCGUGCUAAAUGACUUAAAUUGUCCGGUCUGGGCUCCAACUUUCCAUCCUCCGGCCUCCGCCCACGGAGUGAGGCUCUGCCGACUGGCGGGUGCCCCUGUGACCCGGGAAGCCGGUGGGCACAGGGCCACACUCAGCGCAGAUGGGCUGUGGGGCAGAGCGGGCAGGAGGCGGAGGGGCCUCGCGUAGGGAGGGGCUGGGCCGAAGGCGCUGCCUCGGGUGCGGCUCGGCGUGGUGCUGGGGAUUCCGGAUGCUUCCGCUAAAGCAGAGUGUGCAGCCUCGGACGGCGGUCACAGAGAGGAGGAGCCAUGGUACGGCGCUGUCCCGGCCGCUGCCCGCCGCGGUGCGCUGCUGUCUCUGGGUCACGGGACGCUGGGAGUCAAGGGCACCGGUCAUGUGACCACACCCCCCCAUUCCCAUUGGCUGCUGGAGCGAGGCGUGGCCUAUCCCAGGCAGGGGCCUGAUUUACAGACGCUGGGAGUCAAGGGCACCGGUCAUGUGACCACACCCCCCCAUUCCCAUUGGCUGCCAGGGAGCUGGAGCGAGGCGUGGCCUAUCCCAGGCAGGGGCCUGCGCGUGGACUCUGUGAGGCAGUGAUACAGCCAGCUCCCACCUGUUUUCUCCUCACUCAUUUUACCUUUUCUGUGGCUUUCUUAUAAUAAAAUCACAUCGAUAUAUCUUAAGAUAUUAUUUGCAUAUUUGUAAAUUUUCUAUUUUGUGAAAAGAGGUAAAUUAAGGAAGAAGCGAGACUUCUCUCUGGGUUUCAAUCUGCCAUGAUUUCUGCCACUGCCCUUUAGAGUCUGAUGAUGAGUCGUCCCCCCCAAUUUGGGGACAUGUCA
rnacentral:lncRNA from 1 species